rnacentral:lncRNA from 13 species
AUUAAAGAACUUGUCCACAUGAGCUAAUAGAAGAAACAUAUAAUAGACAUGGGUCUUCUAGCUACAAGAUUUCAAGUCACACAAUUUUCUCCAUGAAGGUUCCCUACUGGAGGCUGAGGAAAGGAAGGUAAUUUGAAAGACUGAAUAAUUUUUCCUAGAAUGAUGAAGCAGUCUUUGAAGGUAUUGCUUUUAUUGAACUGAGUUGGU